UUAGAAUAUGAGAAACUAAGUUAUAUGUUUAGUUAUAUUUUUACUGAUUUUUAUAGAGUAAAGAUAGAAAUAAAACUUAGUAAAAUCAGUAAAAAUAUUCUUAGACUAAAGUUAAGUAGUUUAAGUUGUGUGCAAGUGGUAGGAGAGCGUUCUAUUUGCGUCGAAGGUAUACCGGUAAGGAGUGCUGGAGCGAAUAGAAGUGAGCAUGCAGGCAUGAGUAGCGAUAAUUAAUGUGAGAAUCAUUAACGCCGUAAACCCAAGGUUUCCUACGCGAUGCUCGUCAUCGUAGGGUUAGUCGGGUCCUAAGUCGAGUCCGAAAGGGGUAGACGAUGGCAAAUUGGUUAAUAUUCCAAUACCAACAUUAGUGUGCGAUGGAAGGACGCUUAGGGCUAAGGGGGCUAGCGGAUGGAAGUGCUAGUCUAAGGUCGUAGGAGGUUAUACAGGCAAAUCCGUAUAACAAUACUCCGAGAACUGAAAGGCUUUUUGAAGUCUUCGGAUGGAUAGAAGAACCCCUGAUGCCAUCGAGCCAAGAAAAGUUUCUAAGUUUAGCUAAUGUUGCCCGUACCGUAAACCGACACAGGUGGGUGGGAUGAGUAUUCUAAGGCGCGUGGAAGAACUCUCUUUAAGGAACUCUGCAAAAUAGCACCGUAUCUUCGGUAUAAGGUGUGGUUCGCUUCGUAUUAGGAUUUACUCCGAAAGCGAAGAAACUUACAACAAAGAGUCCCUCCCGACUGUUUACCAAAAACACAGCACUCUGCUAACUCGUAAGAGGAUGUAUAGGGUGUGACGCCUGCCCGGUGCUCGAAGGUUAAUUGAUGGGGUUAGCAUUAGCGAAGCUCUUGAUCGAAGCCCGAGUAAACGGCGGCCGUAACUAUAACGGUCCUAAGGUAGCGAAAUUCCUUGUCGGUUAAAUACCGACCUGCAUGAAUGGCGUAACGAGAUGGGAGCUGUCUCAAAGAGGGAUCCAGUGAAAUUGUAGUGGAGGUGAAAAUUCCUCCUACCCGCGGCAAGACGGAAAGACCCCGUGGACCUUUACUACAGCUUGACACUGCUAUUUGGAUAAGAAUGUGCAGGAUAGGUGGGAGGCUUUGAGUAUAUGACGCCAGUUGUAUAUGAGCCAUUGUUGAGAUACCACUCUUUCUUAUUUGGGUAGCUAACCAGCUUGAGUUAUCCUCAAGUGGGACAAUGUCUGGUGGGUAGUUUGACUGGGGCGGUCGCCUCCCAAAUAAUAACGGAGGCUUACAAAGGUUGGCUCAGAACGGUUGGAAAUCGUUCGUAGAGUAUAAAGGUAUAAGCCAGCUUAACUGCAAGACAUACAAGUCAAGCAGAGACGAAAGUCGGUCUUAGUGAUCCGGUGGUUCUGUGUGGAAGGGCCAUCGCUCAAAGGAUAAAAGGUACCCCGGGGAUAACAGGCUGAUCUCCCCCAAGAGCUCACAUCGACGGGGAGGUUUGGCACCUCGAUGUCGGCUCAUCGCAUCCUGGGGCUGGAGCAGGUCCCAAGGGUAUGGCUGUUCGCCAUUUAAAGCGGUACGCGAGCUGGGUUCAGAACGUCGUGAGACAGUUCGGUCCCUAUCUGCCGUGGGCGUAAGAAGAUUGAAGAGAUUUGACCCUAGUACGAGAGGACCGGGUUGAACAAACCACUGGUGUAGCUGUUGUUCUGCCAAGAGCAUCGCAGCGUAGCUAAGUUUGGAAAGGAUAAACGCUGAAAGCAUCUAAGCGUGAAGCCAACUCUAAGAUGAAUCUUCUCUAAGCUCUCUAGAAGACUACUAGUUUGAUAGGCUGGGUGUGUAAUGGAUGAAAGUCCUUUAGCUGACCAGUACUAAUAGAGCGUUUGGCUUAUCUUU
rnacentral:rRNA from 1 species